rnacentral:miRNA from 1 species
CGGCCGGUGGCGUUUCGGGGC